rnacentral:lncRNA from 10 species
UCAAAGUGAGCCGAUCUCACUCACUGUCAGACACUGCAGAGUGAGAAACAGAUGAUGGUUCUGUGGCAAACGUCCUUUUGCUGAAUAUUCUACCUACGGAAGAAGCAAAGAAGUCUAAGUUCUUUGGAGUAAGAUGCUCUCAAAUGCCUAGGAACACUGAUCUCCUAACUUGUCUUCCUGCUUUGAGUGUCCCUCUGAGGUUAAAGUUCCUGCCUCAGUCUCCAACAAUGGGACAGGGUCUCACCACGUUUACCAUGUUGCCCAGGCUGGUUUCGAACUCAUGGGCUCAAGCAAUUCACAUGCCUUGGCCUCCCAAAGUGCUGGGAUUAUAGGCAUGAGCCACUGCGCCCAGUCUGAUGGCUUUAUUUUUGAUACAGGUAUAUUAAGUUAUCCACUAUGAUUGUGAAUUUGUCUGUAUCUUUUUAUAAUUGUUAGUUUUUCUUUAUAUGUAUUAAAGCCAUGUUGUUAAUGCAUACAAAUUCACAAUUGUUAUAUCUUCUAGGAAAAACUCCUCUCAUAAUGCAGUGUGCUUCUUUAUCACUAGUGAUGAUUUUGCUUUUAAUUCUACUUUAUAUGAUAUUAAUAUUGCUGCACCAAAUUCUCUAUUUGUUAGUAGUUGCCUGUUAUAUCUUUUUCAGUUGCUCCAGGUAUUUUUGCUUUCGGUAUGUCUUUGAUAAACAGCAUUUGUUUGUUUGUUUUAACCAAAUAUGAUCAUCUUCUUUAGAUAGCCUGAGGUUGACCCAUAUACAAUUAUUAUGAUAAUUGAUAUAGCUGGGUUAAUUUAUACACUUUUGUGCUGUGUUUUCAUUGUAUAAUCUUCCCGUCACCACCUCCCCCAACUUUGUUUUUGCUUCUUUUUUUCUCCCUUAUAUUCUUUCUCUAGGAUUGAUGAAAUUAUCUUUAUUCUUUUUAUUUCUCUUCUAAUGGUUUGGAAGCUAUAGAUUGCGUUUCUAUCAUCUUGGUGAUUACUUUCAACAUACAUAUAAAAUGUUAUAUUUCCUGACAAAGUCUAAAGAAAUUUAAUAUCCUCAUCUUUUUAAACAAAGUGAUGAUCUUAGUUGACAUUGGCCCAUUGAAUUCCACCUCUUCUAUCCUCCUUGUAUUUACUGUCUACAUUUUAUUCCCAACUCUUUUAAGCAAACAAAAAUGUUAAUCUUGAAUUGUCAGUAAUUAAUUUAACAACAUCUUUUUAUCUAUUACUUUGUUCAUUAAUGCUUCUUACAUCCCAUAUCAUUCCAGGUUUUCUUUUUUUUGAAAGAACUACUAAAGAACGUUCUGAGUUCUUUAGUAGUGCUUUCAAUAGAAGUUUGUGGGUGGGUUGAAUUUUGGAGGUGGGAGGAACAAUAUUGAGUCUCUCAAUCCAACUGUUAUUUCACUUAACAUCUUCUUAAUAUUUUUCCCUCUUUAUUUCUUUGUGCUUCUUUCUUGGUAAAUUCUUCAAUACUAUUUUCAAAUUCAGUAAUUCUCUUUGAUUUUUCCAGUCAGAUUUUAUCCCAUUUAUUGAGUUUUCGUCUCGAUUAUUACACACAUUUUUUAGUUUCACGUUUUUUUUUAGUAGAGACGGGGUUUCACCGUGUUAACCAGGAUGGUCUCGAUGUCCUGACCUCGUGAUCUGCCUGCCUUGGCCUCCCAAAGUGCUGGGAUUACAGGCAUGAGCCACCGUGCCCGGCCUAGUUUCAGGUUUUAAAAUUGGUUCUUUAUAUCCAUUUAUCUUUGAUUUCUACCCACUUUUAAAUUUCACAAAACAUUUUAUGGUUAUUAUUUUUUCUUUUAUUUCUGAAUAAGUUACACAUACUUAUUUUAAAUUCAUUUUGAGAAUGUUUAAUUUUUAUUUUUUCAAGAAUUAAUUCUCCACACUUUAUUGACUUGCUUUCUUAAAGUGGUUUUUCUUUAUGUGCUUUAUUAUUUCCCCUCUCUCAUCAUGCACUCUUUUCUCGUGGUUUUGCAGCACCUCCACCCAACUCUUGGCACUCCGAUGAUAGAACAGGCCUUAUGUCAACAGCCAAGGGCUUCCAUUCUUGGGGCAAUUUCACACAUUUAGCUAUUGAAUCAGCAGGUGCCCUGACAUAGGUUCUGUCUCCACGGCCUUCUCUGCUCCUUCUGGCCACACUGGCUACACAGCUACUUAGCUUUUCUUGCAUUAACUCUUUUAAACAAACAAACAAAAAGCUUUCUUUUAAUUGCCAGUAUUAAAUUAGAUAUAUACAAGCUAUAGCCCAGUCAUGUCUUCUUCUCAGUUUCUUUUCAUGGUAAGAAACCCCACCUCUUUGCUGCUGUCACUCUUACUAUCCAGUAGGGCUCAAUGUGCUGUAGGUCCUUUCUACCCCACAGAAAUCCAAGUUCUGGCCAACUCUGAGCAUUUCUAGAUUCAAAAUCCAGUGGGUUGGUGGCCUCAGCCUGCACUUAUGGCUAGAAGCUUCUAUUUUGACCUUUGUCUACAUAGAUGUUUGUUUUUGAGCAUGGCUAUCUUUGGAGUAUGUGCAUGUGUGUGUGCGCAUGCAUGUGCGCUGUAUUUGGAGCAAUUUAAAACUUGAACUCAUAUUACCAUCUUGAAAAGAAGCAAAGAGCAGAGUCUCUCAAUUAAAGUGGCUUCAUUCUGUUUUGACAUUUAUAAAAGUCUUAGGUAUCUCGUUUUUGUACAUAAAUCCUUUUAUACUAUUUGCAAUUUCAAAAUACUAUAAAUGAAAUUAUGACUGCCUUGACAGGGAGGUUAAAUUCUUUCCACAGACUUUUAAAAAAUUGCACAUGCUACCCCCACCCCUACUCUUCCCAAUUCCUAGGUAUCCUACUUUCCCAGGUUCAAAACCACUGUCCUAAGAGGAAAUGUGCUGCUCUAAUCAGAUCAGCUUGAGAAAACUCACUCAGAGAGUAGGAGAGCUAACAAUCAGGGAACCUGUGUGACUAGAGGAAGACAGGGAUGCCUGGAGAAAACAACCUGACCUGCCCGCACAGAGGGACCCUUGUUCCAGAAACCAGGAGAGGCAGCUGAUGGGCCCACACAGUCAGCACUUACUCUGGUCAAUUUGUUCUCAAAUUCUAACCAUGGGAAUAAACACUACUUUCGGUGAAAACAUUCCUUGUAUUUCACAAACAACUUCCUGACAACAUUUACAGAAAUCAAAAUAAAAGAACAUCAAAACUCAUUUAUUUACCCAGUAGGUAAAUAGAUGAAGAAUAAGAACAGGUGGUUCUCAUAAGAGGAAAUAAAAAGUGAUCUAACAUACACACCUGUUAUCCUUUAUUGUAAUCAAAUAAAUAAAAAUUAAUGAAACAUUUUAUAUCUAGGAAGAAUUUUUUAAAAUAAUACUCAAGUAUAAGGUUGCUAUUAAACUAGUAUAUUCAUACUUACUGCUACAUUGGAAAUUGGCACAACUGUUUGGAAAAAUAACAUAGCAAUAUGUAUUGGGAGCUAUAAAAAUGGUUUUUAUCUUUUAGCCAGUAAUCCAAACUCCUAGGAAUUUAUCUUAAGAAAACAUCAAAAGGAAAAAGUGUUCACACAGCAUUAUUUACAAAAGUGUAACUAAAUGUUGAAGUGGACAAACAGGCAGUAAGUUUCCCCCAACAGUUUUAACAGCUUUAUUAAAGCAUAAUUGAUGGGCAAUAAGGUACACAUAAAGUGUUUAAUUUGUUAAGUUUUGACCUAUGUGUACAUCCAAGAAACCGUCACCACAAUCAAAUGAACAUAAUCAUCCUCCAACAUUUUUAAUUGAGCAGAAAACAGUUAGGGCCAGAUACUUGCUAAAUGAGGCUACCCCAGCCAUCACCCACACCCACUCCCAGGCACCAGCAGACCACCCAGGGACAGGAAUUGGAAUCAUUGGGAGUACAGUGUUCCUGCUGAGGAGGUUUGCCCUCCCCUCUUUCUUAUGGUGUUCAAGAAACUGGGACUCCAAAAAAUAGAGACUAAAGGUGACUUUUAGGCAAGAGGAGCCCAGCAGCCACCAGCUGACUGGGUAGGUACCAGGCUUCAGUCUCUGCAGGCCCACUUUGAAGAUGGCUACCUGGCUGAAGAUUUCUGAGGGUGGGAAUUUGCCAGGGCAGCUCACACCAGCAGCAAGAAGGGAUCAUGGUGUAGCUGUUCUUGAGUAAAAGAUGGCACUCCACCCUCCAGUCCCCUGUGGCCCUUGCAGGGUAUGGAGGAGAAACCAGUAGCUUUCCUGGCUCACAUGAGGGAGCUGAGGAGUAAAGAGGGAGGCAGAAACUACGGUGCCCUGGCCAAGGGAAGUAAUGUCCUACCGAGAUAGGGGGUUGAGGGUGUGCGUCAACGGCAUGGCUUAAAAGGGAUGCCGCUGUUACUUUCUGAGAGGGUCCUCAGUGACAAAGGGACCAGAAACACAUGCCCAGAAAAUCACAUGAGACAAAGACAAUGUCAGCAGAACACACCAACAGCCAACCAGAGUGACCAGUAGAAAGCUCAGGGCCACUGCCCACCACUGACGGGUGACAGUAGGUAGCUCAACCUUCCCCAUUCCUUUAUUUCUUUAUUUUUUUAUUUUAAGACACAGAGUCUUGCCCAGGCUGGAGCACAGUGGUGUGAUCAUAGUCCACUGCAGCCUCAAACUCCUGGGCUCAAGUGAUCCUUCCACCUCGGCCUUCUAAGUGGCUGGGACUACAGGUGUGUGCCACCAUAUCUGGCUAAUUUUUAUUUUUUUAUUUUUUAGAGAUAGGGGUCUCACUAUGUUGCCCAGGCUGGUCUAUAAUCUCUGCUCUCAAGCAGUCCUUCUGCCUUGGCUUCCUAAAGCAUUGGGAUUACAGGCAUGAACCACCGAACCCGACAGCUUCCCUUUUUACUCCAAUUUCUCCUCCUCCCCACCCAACCCUCUGGUGAUAGAGGAGUAAAAGCCAAAACAUAUUCCCUCCCAACUACAGGUUUCAAAGACCAUGAUACAGCCAGAGAGAGAAGGGAAAAGAGAAAAUGAGAUUAGAUUUUAAACUGGACCAGAUAGAACUUUUAAUAAUGAGAUAUGACUUUAAAGCUAUGGGAUCAGCCCAAGAUGUCACUGAAGGACAGGCAAGGGAGGUGGUAGUUGGAAGAAAAUAGAUUGCUUAUGCCUGUACUUCACUGAGUUUAGGAAAUUCACUAUACCAGAGAUAAUCACAAAAUUAAAAGGAAAGUGUAGCAUAUCAACUCAAUCCAUUACACAACAUGUAAAAAUAUAAUUAUUAAGCACUAUGCAGAAAAAUGGAGUGUGUUUACACACUAUCAUCCUAAAUAAUAACGAUUACUUCAAAACAGAUAAAAAUGCAUAACAAUGCACAACUAUUAAAACAGGUAUGUAUGGACAAAAUCUUAGAGUAAGAAAAAUAAAAGUCAUUUUGUUAAUGUGGUAUGAUUAUUGUUUUUAAAUUACUUUUAAGUUUUCACAUUUCUUUUAUAAUAUAGAAAAGUGGAAAAAUCUAAAACCCUCCUGUCUUACUAUUAAGAAAAGUAUUUGUAUUUCCCAUGUUCUUUUCUUUUUUUGUUUGUUUUGAUCCAGUACUAUUUAUGGAAACAUCGCCCUUUCCCCACUGCACUGUAAACUUUAUCAUAAAUUAAGUGACUGUGUAAGUGCUGGGUUUGUUUCUGGACUUGCCAACAGAUUCCACUGGACAAUUUCUCAUUUCUUGUGAGAAUAGCAAGCUGUUUUAAAUUAUUAUAUCCGGCCGGGCACGGUGGCUCACGCCUGUAAUCCCAGCACUUUGGGAGGCCAAGGCGGGUGGAUCACGAGUUCAGGAGAUCGAGACCAUCCUGGCUAACACAGUGAAACCCCGUCUCUAUUAAAAAAUCCAAAAAAAAUUAUUAUAUCCUUAUAAUAAUUCUUGACAUUAGGGGCUUAAGCUUUAUUGUGAUUAUUUCUUUUCUUCCUCUUCUUUCUCCUCCUUUUCCUUCUUCUUCAGCUCCCAAAUCUGUUUUGUUAUUUAGAUUUGAUAUCAUUUCUAGAAUCAGCUUGUGAAUUGCAACAAACAACUACUAUUAUUUUGUUUGGAGUUCCAUGAAUCUAUACAUCAAUUUGGAGAGAAUUGACAUCUUUCCAAUACCAAGUCUUCUAAUAUAUGAUUUCCCUUGUUCUUUUCUCUUUGAUGCCCUGACAAAUAAUUUUGAGCACUUAUCUGCCAAGUUGAGGCUGUGCCAGAUGUUGUGGACACAGCCCAGAGCAGAGCUGGUGGCCUCACUGCCCUAACAUGUACAAACCUGCAGGGAUGCAAGGUGCCCAGACUGUGCAAAGCAAUGGCAGCUGCAUGGAGUCCAGAGAGAGCACCUGGAGGCCUGGAAGGCUUCCAAAAGAAAGUGAGUUUGCACUCCUCUGAGAUACAAGACAAGUAUUUGGAAGAUGCAGGAUUUUACUGAAGUUCUCAUGGAAGGCUUUGGGCCCACUGAUCCCAUCCAUGGGCAUUUUGUCCCCUCCACAAUCCAGCUGAGGGCUGGACUUCCCUGGGACCAUUCUCAGGGGUCACAGGCAUAACCUGUCCAUGCAUUAAAGGUUGGCGCAGAAACUUGGGGCACCUCCAGCCAUUAAUUCAGAUUCAUCUGUUUCAACGUAUUCCCAUCCACCCACAGACUACUGGGGGCCACCCAGAGGCCUGAGUUUCCACCAGUUUCUCACAUGAGAGAAAGCUGAAGGAAAAGGUAUGAAGGCGGAUUUCACUGUUGACAGGUUGUCUUUCAAGUGUGGGUCCUGGCGUUUAUGAGGCAAUGAUGAGACACCUAGAAAGAAGCACAUCUCUGAGACAUGACAGUUCAGUCCCAAAGGCCAUUAAUAGAGGGCCAGCUCAUCAACACAGCUGCAGAAACAGAGCACAGCCAGCCUCGCAGCCCCACACGCUGAAGCCCCCGCUGCAGCAUUCCAUCUACUCUAGCGCCCAUGCAAAUUGAAAACCUAAAAUAGUUCACUCCCCAUAGCCACUGGCUUUGAAGAAUCUCUUUUGUCUCCAUGAAAUAGCUCCAGGAGACAGAACCCAGAGAAAAACUUUUUGAAGUGAACUUUUUCCUUAUAAUUUUAUUUAAAUUUGAAUAUUUUUGUAGAAAUAAUAAAGUUAUCCACUAAUUAUCUGUGUGACAC